UCGGAUCAUCCGCACCGCUGCCUCUCCCCGGUGUCCGCCCGCAGCCCGAGCUGGGCCUCAGGCGGGGAGCGCGGCGCCUGAGGCGGCUCCGCGAGGAGACGGCGCUGCUGAGGCGCUGAGGGACGGCGGCGGGAUGUCCUCUGCUGGCAGGAGCCGGGGCAGCGGCAGAGAGGUUACCCCAAGCAUUUCCCUGCAGGAUAGGAAUACUUGGCUGGUUAAGCUGUUGGGGUGAUCCUAAUUCUGCUAAUUGAGACCCUAAUCCUAAUUGAGCCAGCCCAUCGCCACGCGUGCGCUCAGUUUGGCUCCCCACACAUCCUCGGGGUUCUUGGUUAUGGUUGGGUACACACAAACGGGCCCUCAGGAAAGUCCGAACCAGCCCCACGCCUCAAACACCCAGAGCUCUGCUUGAGGUCCCCAAGAAUCGGCCUCGCGUAAUCACAGAAACACAAAAUGUUCCGAGUUAGAAGGGACUCACGAGGAUCAUCCAGCCGAGCUCCUGGCCCUGCACAGCACCAUCCCGGAGAAUCACACCAGGGGAGGAGCAUUCAUCUGGGGGGAGGCCAGGCCGUGAACUCCCUGAGCUGCAUCAUCAUCCCCCAUUCCUGCCACAUCUGGAGGAUCAACAGGAUUGUGCUGGACAUGGACAAUCUGUGUUCCUGGUGCAAACAUGCCAAACAAGGCUCAAUGAAGGCUGUCAGGUUUCUCAAACUUUUCUGAGAAUCUGACCUGCAGGAGCCUGCAAAGGGAAGUGGCAUGGAGACCUGUGGAGGAAGGCUUGGAGAAACACAGCAACCCAAAUUAGGACUGAUAUCUGAACAUAUGUGUAUUUAUCUAUCAGGCGGGGACUUGCAGAUCUAUUAUGUAACAACACAGUUCUUGCUAAUGAUUCAUUCUUGCAUGCUGUUCAUCAUAUCUUCAUUUCCCACCCUGUGAGUAUGUAGCUCAGUGCUCAGUAAGCUAUGAGUACCAUGUAGCAGAUGCCACCCCCUUAGCAUUGCUGCCUGUGGUCCUGAGUGGCUGCAAGUCAUGGAGGGAAUGGUGUUAAGGCACAAAAGCACUUUGAGGAGAGAGGUUAAAGUAAGCUUGUCUUAUGUCUGCUGAUUUUCCUCCAUUGUGCCUGGCUUCUUUUAUGCUGUCUCUUACCCAAGAUGUGAUGGAUGUCUCCCCUGUUUCUCGUACUGUUUAUAUUGGUUUGCUUUUGCUGCUGUGUAUUUAGAAUGUUUCUUAUUUCCAGUCUCUUGUGCUCAUUUAGUAGCAACCUUUAGCUACUUGAAAACCUUUAUUCUGAAUCUGAAUCCUACUUUGCCCCUUUGCUGAUUACAUGGUUCACAUACUUUGCCAUGAAGUGUGUCUAGCUGUGCCAUCAGAGUAUUACAAAGUUCUUGGACACUGUCUGCAGAACAGUAGUUGAGUUUACUUACACAAACAUUUAAGAAAAUAUGAUAGUUCUUAUGUCCCGAUCAGUAUCUUUAUAAUUCAUGGGUAACUAAAGCUUUUGCUUAGGUUACACAACUCCCUGAUUGUGUUAGGGAUCUCUAAAAGGCAGGGUGCUAUGGAGGGUGUGAGACAAGAGGACUCUUGCAGAAUGCAACUGGACCCGAAAGUGCCCAACCCUGACCUACCUAAAGAUAUUCUGCAGUUUCAUACCUGAUGGUGGAACACAUGCAACUAGAUAUCCUCCACAGAACACGUGGCAUGUUGUGGCAAUGUGUUCUGUUACAAGUUUAUAAUGGUUUGUUCUGUUACUCCUAUGUAGAAGGUUUGUCCCUGAGUCAUAUCCUUCCACCUCCCUUAUCCAUCUUCCCAAAAACCUGCCCUUUUUCCCAGGUCUUUCCAUGCCCAUCAUGGUAACCCUGCCCUCCUCCCUUGUCUAUUGUUGCCCCACCUUUGUUCCCAGAAAUUUCCAUGUCAUUUGUAUAUCCCCUGAGACCUCACUGGUGAAUUCAAACUGUUCUCCUCUCCUGUUACUCCCUAUUCCUCUAGACAUUGUAUUCCUCACCUUGUACUCCUCCCCUGGCUCCCUGCAAUUGGUUAAAGUCCAUACCCUCCCCUGGUUACCUCCCCCCUUUAUAAGUUAUUGUACUUUGUUGUUCUUGAUUCUUUGCCUCUGACUCCUCUGGAGAGUAAACAUCUUGGGAACUCAUGCAAGGGACUCCUCACAUUUCUUUAUCUUGAUCCUUGAUGCCUUUUAACAUCAUUAACCGCAGAGAGCAGCCCAGCUGUGCUCAUAGUGCUACCCAGACUGACCUCAGGAUGGAUAGGGAGUGGUCCAGGAGAGGGCUAGCCUGGGAAUAUCUCCAAUGGAACCACAUCAUCUGUUUGAAGCGCUUGACAUCAUUUGGAAACUGUAAACAGUGAUCCUGUAAGUCUCACUCCCAUGGUGCUUGAGUUACUAGAG